CCCUAUAUAGCUCAGUUGGUAAAGAAUCUGCCUGCAAUGCAGGAGACCCCGGUUCCAUUCCUGGGUUGGGAA
rnacentral:tRNA from 1 species